rnacentral:rRNA from 1 species
GUGAGUAACGCGUAGGCAACCUACCUUCAGGUUUGGGAUAACACUGCUAACGCGGUGCUAAUACCGGAUGGUGCAUAUACACUGCAUGGUGUAUAUGUUAAAGCUGGCCACUGAUAUAAGCUAGUACCUGUAGAUGGGCUUGCGUUUCAUUAGUUAGUUGGUGGGGUAAUGGCUCACCAAGGCGACGAUGGAUAGCCGGCCUGAGAGGGUGAUCGGCCACACUGGGACUGAGAUACGGCCCAGACUCCUACGGGAGGCAGCAGUGAGGAAUAUUGCGCAAUGGCAGAAAUGCUGACGCAGCAACGCCGCGUGAGGGAUGAAGCUUUUCGGAGUGUAAACCUUUGUUAGGAGGGACGAACGGGCAUAAUACGAAUAGGGUUAUGCCGUGACGGUACCUCCAGAGGAAGCCCCGGCUAACUCCGUGCCAGCAGCCGCGGUAAUACGGGGGGGGCAAGCGUUGUCCGGAAUCAUUGGGCGUAAAGGGCGCGUAGGCUGACAGGUCAGUCUGUGGUGCAAUCUUGUGGCUUAACCGUAAGUUUGCCAUGGAAACUACCUGUCUUGAGAUCGGAAGGGGGAAGCGGAAUUCCUGGUGUAGCGGUGAAAUGCGUAGAUAUCAGGAAGAACACCGGUGGCGAAGGCGGCUUCCUGGUCCGAGACUGACGCUGAUGCGCGAAAGCGUGGGGAGCGAACAGGAUUAGAUACCCUGGUAGUCCACGCUGUAAACGAUGGGCACUAGGUGUUGGGCGUCAAGUUCAGCGCCGGAGCAAACGCAUUAAGUGCCCCGCCUGGGGAAUACGAUCGCAAGAUUGAAACUCAAAGGAAUUGACGGGGGCCCGCACAAGCGGUGGAGCAUGUGGUUUAAUUCGAUGCAACGCGAAGAACCUUACCUGGGCUUGAACUGCAGAGGCACGUACCCUGAAAGGGGUAUUUCCUUCGGGACUUCUGUAGAGGUGCUGCAUGGCUGUCGUCAGCUCGUGCCGUGAGGUGUUGGGUUAAGUCCCCCAAGGAGUCGCAUACCCUUGCUAUUAGUGGCCAUCAGGUAUAGCUGGGCACUCUAAGGGGACUGUCCCGGAUAACGGGGAGGAAGGUG